rnacentral:ncRNA from 1 species
GCGCUGACCUGGCCCAUGCCCAGGAGCGCCAUUGCGCCGGACGAAUGCCCCUCGGGUGGGGCAAGCAACAUCGGC